rnacentral:rRNA from 1 species
GUAGCAGUACGAGCGCACCCCUAUCCUUAUUUGCCAGCGCAUAAUGGCGGGAACUAUAAGGAGACUGCCGGUCAUAAACCGGAGGAAGGCGGGGACGAGGUCAAGUCAUCAUGGCCCUUAUGGGUAGGGCUACACACGUGCUACAAUGGGUGGUACAGAGGGUCGCCAAAGCGUGAGCUGGAGCCAAACCCUUAAAACCAUUCUUAGUCCGGAUUGGAGUCUGCAACUCGACUCCAUGAAGUCGGAAUCGCUAGUAAUCGCGAAUCAGAAUGUCGCGGUGAAUACGUUCUCGGGCCUUGUACUCACCGCCCGUCACGUCAUGGAAGUGGGUUGCACCAGAAGUGGUUUGUUUAACCUUCGGGAGAACGGUCACCACGGUGUGAUUCACAACUGGGACGAAGUCGUAACAAGGUAGCCCUAGGGGAACCUGGGGCUGGAUCACCUCCUU